AUGCGAAAUCUCUCUUCAAUUAGCAAGGAACACUGCCUUCGUCAUUUGGAGUAUAUAUAUAUUUUCCAUCCAUGUGUGGAUCCCAAGUCUUUAAAUGAAGAUCUCUUCCAAGAACUUCUCCAGUCUGCCUUUUCAUUCCUUCAUGUGAACUUUAAACCCCUACAACAACCUUUGGCAGAGAGCACUUCUUACUCUCUGGGUGAUUACGAGUCACUUUCUUCGGUUGUUUUGAACUAGAAUCCUACUAGCUUGUCUUGGAGAUAGUGAGAGAAUUGAUUCACUUCUUGCAUGCCAUAAUGAUUUGUGAACCUGUCUCCUGAAAUCUUUGUAACCUCCAUUGGAGCACCCUACUUUAAACAACGAGACAAUACAGAAGCUACUUGGUACCUUUGAUCUUCCAUGUGGUCCCCUUACAAAGUUUCCCCACUUUUACUAAAUCUUCUAUUGUGUUUUUUUGUUGUUGUUGGUUGUGGUGGUGGUGAUUUUUGUUUGUUUGUUUGUUUUUUAAAAUAAGGGGAUCAGAACUGCACAUGUUAUUCAAGAGACAGCUGGCAAAAUGAGGUUCUCUGUUUUUCUCUUUUUUUCUAACAAGUCACAAACUUAAUUUCAAAAAUGUUUCAGUCAUUAAUCUGACAUUUUCUUGGAACUAUGUAGUAUCUGUAAACACAUUGUCUCCAUACUACAUUGAACUUUGUUUUGUAAAUUCUAUUAUCCUAUAUUAGACAGUAUGUUUUGAUUGUCAUGACAGUUGAGCACCAUUUUAGCAGUACAUCUAUCUUUACUAAUCCCUCUCAGAUGGAGAGCAAAAGCAUAUAUGUACUACAAGAGACAUACACAGUGUCUGCAAUGCUAUGCAAGAUCAACAUUAGAUCUCUAUUCUGUUGUCAGAUAACUUAGAUUAGGCAUUUUCUUUCUUAUCCUGACUAACACUAUAUCAGCCUUGACAAUGCUUGGAGCUAUUCAAAUUAUACGCUGCUUUGCCUGGUACCCUUCCCCUCAAAAAUAAAUAAAUAAAUAAAUAAAUAAAUAAAUCUGAU
rnacentral:lncRNA from 1 species